GAAUGCUCUCUUUUAAAAGACCAUCUAUGCAGUAAUUCAGAUUGCUCCUUCUUCACCAGCUCUGUAUCUGCUGGUAUCAAGGCUUCUGAUAGAGCCAUUGCUCUGCUGACUUAUUGUGUGCGAAUCACUGUCAUUGAUCAUGAGUCCAUUUGAGAUAACUCCAUCACAUGAGGUAACCAACAAAGCUUGCAAGCAAAGAAACUGUGCUAUUCUUCCACAUGGAUCACUUGGAGAACUAAAUUACAAUUUAUUCACUCUCUACUUCCAUGGGUAGGAGGCACCUGGCUUCAUGGCAUCUUUACAAGUUCGUUUGUCAAGUUCAAUUCGCAAACAAUGUCUUCAGAGCUCCAAAACAUUCACUUGUACACAUUCCCAGAUCAAAAGAAGCCCGGCUGAUCAGAACAUCAGGACAGAAGAAGCAGAAAAAAACAUCAAGCAAAGUAUCAAUCGCAUUAAAGUAUCUCCUCCCAAAGUUCAGAUAUACUCCCAUGGACUAUACGCAGCCAUUUAAUCUCUUGUGGGAAACUUCUAUAUAUAAAAAUAUAUAUAUAAAUAUAAACUCUCUGAUCUCUAAUAAUAAUUGAAUAAAACUCUAGGAUUUCUAUUUCUAUUCAACUCCACCCUGACAGUUGUCCUUUCUGUGCUCACUUGCCUUAGUACUUUGAUAAAAGCAAAAUACUGCAGAUGCUGGAAAUCCAAAACACAAACAAAAAUACCUGGAAAAACUCAGCAGGUCUGACAGCAUCUGCGGAG